AACCCUGUUGAAUAUGGUGGGGGUACAAGAGGAUUGUUUUAGCAAUAUUUCUAUUUUGCAUGGGUUUAAAUAAAAAAAAAAAACACAAAAAUUAAAUACCAGAAUAAAACAUAGGAGAAUUUCUUCAUAGUGAUGGGUUUGGCGACCAUUCCAACUGAUUUACAAUCCAGAAGCCAUGAAAUAAAAGAUUGAUUAAAAUCAAUUUUGCAGUGGGUGGGGGAGGGAACCAACAAAGGAAAAGGAAAAACUAGGAAAACUAUUCACAACUUAUAUCACCGAUAUAUGACUAAAAAUUAAUAUGUAAACUUCUAGAAAUCCUAAAAAAAAAAGCAACACUGUAGAUUGGCAGAGCAUCUAAACUGACAGCACACAGAAAAGGAAAAAGGGUCUAAAACAUGUGAGAAGAUGCUCAGCCUCAUUCGUAGUAAGAGAAAUAAGGCUGGGCUGUGACUGGGAGACCCCAGAGCAACAGUUUGUCAUCUGCUCUGAUUGCUGAGACUGGGAAACAAGAACCAUCAGACAGGAUGGAAGAUGGUAGAGUGUCUGUGAGGAGCAGUUUGCCAGUUUCCAUCAGAAUUGCUUCAGUUGUGCUUACAUUCAAGGUUAUACUCCAUAGCUUUGUGUGGAAUAGCAAAAGAUUAGAGGCUUUGAUGCCCAUCAGGAGGGGCCUGGUUAAGUAAAUUAUGGAGUACUCUGCAGCUGUAACACAAUGAGGCUGUUGUCUGUUUGCCUACAUGGAAAGAUCCUCAAAGGACAUCGCUAAGUAUACUUUAUAUUUGUAUAUAGAAAGGAAAAUAAAAUUGUAUUUGCUUGAAUAAAGAAAUUCUGUAAAGACAAACAAGAAACGAAUAACUAGUGAGUAAGAAGUAAGGGAUAAAACUAUAAUAUUUCACUAUGAACCUUCUCCUACUUUUUAGCUUCAUUCCAAUCCCAUGAAUCAAGAAGUUACAACCAUACACUGGAUUUAAAAGACUGUACUAUAGGCUCAGUACAUUGAGUCACCUUUGCAGACCAGUUCUGGCUUUAUGUAUUACAUCUAUUAGCAGUAGAAUUUUAUAUGAAUUGAGUGAAAGUCCAAAUAUAACAGUUAGGUCACUUGAAAACAUGCGCCUCAGGUGCCUGUUAAAUGUGCUUUUAAAUAUGUGUUUUGUUGAGAAUGUGGUCUGACCGGCCCUGGGUGGCUCCUUUGAUGAAGUAAGAAGCUGUGACUAUUCUGGAGGGAAGCUCCCUCAGCUCACUCCUCUGUCAUUUCAUCACCUGCCCAUCCAGCCUGCUGCUCCAUUAACUAAGAAUACCAAGUACAUUUCAAAACUGCAGGUGAAAACAAUAGAUGAACUGACCAAAAAUUAUAUGAUGAUUCUUGGGAGAUUUUUAGCCUGGAGCCAGGGCUGUUUUAUUGUGUCCCAAGCUCCAAGUGUUCGCUAACCAAAUGCUUUGUCAUCUUUGGUUUAAAAGCUGCACAUUGGCACCUGUUUUAUUUACUUCACACCAUGCCCACAGAACUCCUCCUUUGAAGACAAUUGAUUUCAAUUUUCAGUCAUUCAGGAGACAAUUACUAAAUCCGUCCCUUCUCCUCCCCCCAUUUUUCUUCUUGAUAAGGAAUAGGGGUUAGAAACAAUAUUAGCUCUUUCAUUCUGUGUCCAUAAGAUGUGAGAAAAGGGCAGGGCUCCUGGGGGUUCUCACAGACAUUUCCUCCCCUGGACUAAGUGCCUUCAUGCCAGCAGCAGUCCUGCUCAGCGUGUCUUAAUGAACACCCAGCAGGGGUCAAGAAGGUUCUCUGAGCUUCCAGCAGUCAGGCCUUCAGAAGUCCUUCGUAGUCAUCUUAACGGGAAUGAAAAUACUUCAAGUAAUCCUUUACCUCUUCCCUCUUUUUAAAACAAUUAGGUUUAGCCAUCUUUCAGAGUAGACAGUUUACAUCUUUAAACAGUUACUGCAAAGCCACGAAAACUGCAGUUUAAAAUUUACAUGAUUUACACUUUUUCACUUCAAGGUAUGAUCUCACCAGCAUGUAUAUUAUAUUCAUGAAUGGAAAUGUUGGCAGCAGGAAAAGCACGCCAGGUGUCCAGCGGUUCUCAACCUGUGGGUCGCAACCCCUUUGGAGGUCGAACGACCCUUUCACAGGGGUCGCCUAAGACCAUCCUGCAUAUCAGAUAUUUACAUUAUGAUUCAUAACAGUAGCAACAUUACAGUUAUGAAGUAGCAACGAAAAUAAUUUUAUGGUUGGGUCACAACAUGAGGAACUGUAUUUAAAGGGCCAGAAGGUUGAGAACCACUGUGUUAGACCGAUAGGAUGAGUCCAGACCUGGGUUCAGCAACCUCGGUUUUUGAGUCUAGCUCGGGAAGAAUUCAGAGCCAAGACUCAAACUGUAAGAGAGCACUUAUUUGGAAAAUCACCGAGAUAGAAGAAGUAAUUUGUAGAAGAAAUGGGUUGAGGAAACAAGAUGUGGAGGUAAAGGAAGGGCCCUUGGAGCUUAGGAGUGAGGAAGGUAAAGGUGCUGUGCCAGAGGGUGUUGAGAGCGGGUGGAGGAAGGGAAAGGCAUGGGUGUGCUCCCUGGAAGGAGAAGGUUUUAAGGGUGGAGAUGUCAGGGGAGUCCCAGGGAAAGAUCUUAAUAAAAUAUUCAUCACUUUUCCAGGUGUGUCCUUUCAGGGCUGGAGUCUUUACUGACUGAUUGGUUGGCACCAGGGCAGUGUCUUCAGUCAAUACAGCUGGUCCUGAGGUCAGCCUUGGCCAUGGCAUCACUUGUCUGGUUUUUCUGCUUUUCUUGGCCUGGAGCUGAAAUAUAACUAGGCCUGGGUGUUAUCUCUGGGAAGUAAAAGUCGGGGUAUAAGCACAUGACCAGCGAUAUGCUAGGUGAGGAAAGGUCACCCAGGAGAUGAGGUCCCACCCUAUAAUUAUCCUUUGCUAGUCACCCAGGGCUUCCAUCCUGGUGACCUUCUGUACCUGGACUAUAGUUCUUGCUCUGCUCAUGUCUGUCUAACUGCCUACCACAGAAACAUUUGUGUGUUUUUUCCCAAAAAAAUCAUUCAGGUGAGGAACAGUUACCUGCUGCAGUGUGUAGUCUAUCUGGACUUAUAGAGCUGGGAGGGAAGUUGAGGCAGGCAAACCAGCAGUGUUGGAUCAUGUACCAUGUCAGUGGUCCUUCCUGGAAUAGCCCAUAAUGUUCUUGUCUGUAAGUCAUUGCAGAAUAAUCAAAACUGGAUUGGCAUGGACAGCAUUUCUUUUGUAGGUGGUUCAGAUUGCUAAUAGUUCCAUAAAUUGUUAAAAGCAAAAACAUUGGCAUAUAAACUCAUGUUUUGAAAGAACACGACUAAAUCUAUCACAUAGAUACCAAACAUUGCCCCAGGUUUGGGCUGAGUGGAAUUUACAGAGAUGCCAACAAGCAGUGGACUGAUAAAGGAGAAACUGUUAGAAGGGUAAUGCAAACUGAAUAAUGGCCCAAGUGAGCAUUAAAUGUACAAGGGAUACAUUAGAAAGAAAUCUGUGUGAUGGGAAGAGAAGAAAAGGACAGAGAGGAAAAGGAGAGAGGGAGGUUGGUGGGGAACUGUAGAGGAAUGGCCUGGCAAUGGUAUCUGUAAACACCUCCACUGGGUCAUUACAGACAUGAGUGCCCUCGAUUUUUAGAACAACUUUCUAACCAUCAUUAGGGGGAUAAUUAGCCUAACUGGCACAUAACCAGAAAACACCAGACCUGGGGUUUAAACUCCUGUCUGUUUCAAGAGCCUGGGGCCUUUGCACUAAGUGUCAUCUGUGGUACAUCACUAGUCACUGCCCCUACAUCAGAGCUGAAAGCCACGGGUUUAAUCCUGAAACCAGCUUAACCCCCUCCCAAAAUUGGGGCCAGAAGUGGCAGGGUUCUUGGGUGAAAGAAUGCUUAUGACUCUGCUGACCCAAACACAUUUCCUCUUUUAGAGAAAUGGAUGAGAACACAACUCUUAGUUUAGAACUAAGCUUUUCUUUUCAAGGAUAAAGAAUAGCACAUUUUGAUCUUUAAAAUCACUUGUAGCUCCAACUCUGGUCUUCAGUCAAUCUGAGUAUACAUUGGUUUUAGAUUAAAACAUAGCAUGUGGCCUUCUGGAAAACAAAGUGAAGAAAUAAAACUCCAGGGGGGGAUUUUUUUAAUGCCUUUGCCCUGGGAACUGAUUUAUGUUGGUAUUGUUAGCUAUUUUCCUUGGAUGACAAACUUGUAUAAUUGUAGUAACAUGUUUCUGAGAUGCAGAGGGGGAAAACCACAACAAAAUGUAAACCUUUCAAGUUAGCACAUGAGUAAUGUAUAUUAAUGACAGAGAGAAAUGAGCCAGGAAAAAGGAUUUUCAAGAAGGAACACCACAGGCAUCAAGGGAGUGCCUGUGUCCUGGGGUUAUAUUAUCUGAUUUCUGGAAACGAGUUGCUCACCAUCUGAGGGUUGGAAAUAAGCUGGGUCUUAAUCAUGGUAUGCGUUGGUAUCAUUUGGGUCAGUUGAUCAUUCUAAUGUAAUCUCCUACAAAAGGGGCCCCAUAGUGGAGAGGUCUGGGGAGGGGUUAUGCAGAUACAACAGUGGGAUUUUAGUCAGGACAAUCUUUCGUUGUCUCAUCUCCUCCUUUCCCUUAUUCACUGGGAACUUGUUCGGUUAUAUUUAUUAUAAUUUCACUCCAGAAUGUUUGAGUGGGGUCCUUUUUUCCCCAAGCUCAGCGACUAAUCAAAUUGUAAUAGUAUAUUCUCUAAUAAUAUUUGUUUAAAUGCACCUCCAGGCAAUCAACUUUACUAUGUAAAUGAUGCUGGUGUUUAAAAAAAGAAACUGUCUUAAAGUCUUAACUUUGCUUUCCUGCACCUUAGCCAACCAAUACGUUCCUCUGUCAAAUGAGGAGGUUCAAGGAGCCAUGGUUUUCACCCCAGGCUGUACUUUUAACCAGCUUCCCAGACCUGGAUCUGCCUGGAGAUUCUGGUGCCAUCCAUAGGGUGUGCCUGGGGCUUGGGGAGGUUUCAGGGCUCCUUGGGAGAGUCCAGCACUCAGCUGCAGUGGAGAACUGACCCAGAGCAUUUCCAAAGCCCUUUCUGGCCCUAAAGGUCAUUCGACCAUGAGGUCCCAGAUGAAUUUCACUGCCCCUUGCUGAUUUCUAGUCUGUGUCAUAUAUACUAAGAGCCAAAAUUCAGUUAAAUUUUCAGUGAUCCUUGUAAGAAUCUCAUUUAGCCCAAAGCACCUCUUUUUUGCUGUGUGUAUUUUAUCACAUAGUUCAUUCAUGGGCUAUGUGUACAUUGGUCUUAGAUUAGAUGAACUGGUGGUCCAUGAGGUCCAAAAGGUUGGCGACCACUGGUGUAAAUGGUCUCCAACCUCCACGUUCACUUCUCCCCAUUCAGAAUAGCAAACAUUCAGAACAGCAAGCCAUAUACAAAAGGGCUCUAAUUAACAUUACUCUACUUAGUGUAUACUUGAUGGACAUCUUUCACAUACACUAUAAAUUGCAUUCACGCUGUGGGCCAUUGUUCUUUCAUCUCAUAAGAACCCAAAUCUUGUCUGUGUGACCAUCUGGGAAUUGAUUUUGUUAUUUUUGCUUCCUGCUGGAAGACUACAAAAAUAUUUUAAAACAAAACUGAACCAAAAAAAAAAAUGUAGAAAACAUAAAAGAAAGGAAAAGAUUCUUGUGAUUUAGAACUUGUUCUAAAUUUUCCAGGCAAGAGGAAAAAACAGCUGUUACCCUGUGAGUGUACCCGAAGGUCAAAGUCCGGCUUAGGAGUUAACUGUUGUCCUCCUGUCAGUCAUGGGACCCCCACUGUUUGGGGCCCAUAUUCUGUGUCUCAUCCCUCCCUGAAUUGCUCACACUAGUUACUGCAGAGAUUAAAUAUUCCUGCUAUAGAACACCCCCCCCCACCCCCCAAAUCAAUGUGAUCAAAUAUUUCUGAAGUUAAACAAAAUGACAUAUUGGUUUGCAAGGAUUAUCCAUACCCUUGCAUUAAUUAAAAAAAAAACAAAAAAAAAAACAACAAAAACUGAGCUUCUGCUGGGAGGGAGCUGGGGAGAGGCUAUUUUGUGCUCAGAAAGAUGCCCCAAGGCAGCUCUUGAUAGCAUUGUUUUUGUUCAGUUUUGGCUAGGCUGGUGUAUGCAUUAGCUCAUGUUCCAAAUCUGUCACCCGAAGAAUGUAGCGAGAAUUUUGUUUCAAUCGUUUCUCUCUCACUUCACCCUUUCCUUAGCCAGAGUCCAGCGUCUACACAGCCCAAAUUGCCAAGACUUGAAAGCAGCAGUUUUGAAUAAAACCUAACAGGCUUUUGACAGAGUUGGAGGUGCUUAUCCCGCUAGCCCCAGACACACACUUCCAGGCUCUAUAACCCACUUGCCCUUUAGGUAGUUGCUGCUGAGUUUUAGAGCAUAUGGGAAUCAUGCAUCCUUUCCCUAAUGUCUGCAAAUCUCCAUGGGAGCUGGAGAGACAACUGGGGGCAGCUAUACUCACAAACUUGAAUUUGCUUUUAAUGACUCACGCAGGAGUUCAGGGCUCUGUGCAGCUUUUAGGGACCAGGUAGCCCCUCCCCAGUCUUACAUCCACAUUACAGAACCCAGCAGUUAACCAUUUGUUCCCCUCAUCUCUCACCAGCCCUGUUUUAGCCUCUCUGGAGGUCAGUUUCCUCAUCUCUGAAUUGGGGACAGGAUUACUAACUUUCCUGGCAGCAGGAUCACAUGAAAACAUGCUGACUAAAACAUUUUGUAAACUAAAAAACACUGUAAGAUGUCCAUUUUUGUGAUUAAAUGAGAUACUGAAAGCACUUGGUAUGCAGCUAAAGACUGCAUUAAGUGAUAGUGUUAGUGAUUUAUGCUUUACUAUGUGAAGACUGCUGUACUUGGCACUAGGUGAGAACUUGGUUUUCUGUGUGGGAAGGUAGAACAGGGGAGAGUGCAGGAGAGGAUAGGGUGACCUCUCUGGCUGCAUGCACCCUGAUACCUUGUUAGCUGUGGUGUAAUUUCCCAGACCCGUUAGUUACUCGAUGGCUGAUGACUUGCUGAAAUACUCUCACCAGGAACUCUGCUUCCAAAGGGAAAGGAAUUUUUAAAAAACAAAUUACAGAUGGGUGCAGGGCAGCAGAGUCCACCUGGCACAGCUGAGCUCUCAGGGACAGAGGAGUUCCCAUAGGGGAAGGGGCUUAUGGUGCCGCCUGUGUUCUCAGGUCUGAAACCCACUGUCUCAUCAUGCUCAUCUAUGGAGACAUGGCAGUACACAGCCAAGGAAACCAUCAACAGAAGGAAAGGCAGCCCAUUGCAUAGGAGAACAUAUUUGUCAAUGAUACUCUGAUAGGUAAAUAUCCAAAAUUUAUAAAGAACACCAAAAAACGUACAAUCCAAUUAAAAAAUGGGCAAGAGACUUGACUAGACACCUCUUCAAAAAGGAAAUACAGAUGGGGCCAAGAGAUAUAUGAAAAGAUGCUCAGUGUCACUAAUCAUCAGAGAGAUGCAAAAUAAAACCACAAUGAGAUAUCACCUCAUCCCUGUCAGAAUGGCUAUCAUCAAUAAAUCAACGAACAAUAAGUGUUAGUGAGGAUGUGGAUAAAAGGGGACACUCAUGCACUGUUGGUGGGAAUGCAGACUAGUACAGCCACUGUGGAAAGCAGUAUGGAGUUUCCUCAAAAAAUUAAACAUGGAACUGCCUUAUGACCUAGUGAUUCCACUUCUGGGAAUAUAUCUGAAGAAACCUGGAACACUAUUUCACAAGAAUAUAUGCACCCCUAUGUUCAUGGCAGUGUUAUAUAAAACAGCCAAAAUUUGGAAGCAGCCCAAGUGCCCAUCAGUAUAUGAGUGGGUAAAAAAGCUGCGGUACAUUUACACAAUGGAGUACUGCUUGGCUGUAAAAAUGAAGGAGAACUUACUCUUUGUAACAGAAUGGAUGGACCAUUAUGCUAAGUGAAUAAACCAAUCAGAGAAAGACGGGUACCAUAUGCUUUCACUCGUGUGGAAUCUAAUGAACAAAAUAAGCAAACAAAAUAGAAA